rnacentral:lncRNA from 1 species
AAACCCAAAAUAAGAAAAGAAUCUCUCCCUAAUAUCAUUAUCUCUCCUCUCUUCUCUCUUCUCUCUUCGGCCGCAGGUCUCCGAUGGCGCCGUUGACUCAGUCUGUCCUCAGCCUCCUCUCCGCCGCUUUCCUCCUUGGCUUCCUCUCUGAUCCGGCCGCUGCUCGUCCCUGCAAAACCCUUUUCAUCUCCUCCUACUCCGUAUCCUUCCACCCCAAUUUCCCCGAUCAAAAUAACCCUAACUCCGCAGGCACCGCCGGAAUUCUCACGAUUUUCACUGAGAUCCGGCAAUUUAACCCCCGUCCGCCGCUCACCUUCGUCGACGCCGUCGAGGAUCAGCACCCGAUCGAGCGUCCGCCGCGAUUUGGCCUCGGUCUAGGGUUCGACUCCGACUCCCUCCGCGACCGCACCAAGGACGUGCUCAGCGUUGUUGUGGCGCUGCUCUUCGGCGUCGGCUGUGGCGCUCUCACCGCCGCAACCAUGUACUUGGGUUGGUCGCUCUUCUCCAACCGCCACCGCUACUCCGACUUCGAUUACGAUGACUUUGAGGAUGAUGACGUUGACAUGAGCCCUAAGAAGGUGGGCUAUGUGAGGAUCCCUCCUCCUGCUGAUGCCUCUACUCCCGUGGCAAAAGAGGCGGUAUGAGGCACAGAAAAAUUAGGGUUUUAAUGCUUAAUGCCUAGUGUUUUGCGUUUCUGAACCAGGUGCUAUUUGCUAUGUUAUUAUGAAUUAUAUUGCUAAAAAUGUGGGUACUUAUAUGGUUUUGUGUUUCUCAAUCACAUCUAUAACUAUGCUUUGUGUAUAUUUAUCAUCUAAUACAUUGAAUGCUUGUUUUAUUUAAUUUUUUUCUUUCGCUUGGGCUUCGAUUAUUUGGAAGGAAAAAUUGUUCUCUGACAUAUGUUCGAUUAAUCUUCUUUUUUUUUUUGUAUGAGAAGCUUUUUGGUUGAAACAAAUGGGGCCUUGGUCUGGUUUCUUUUAUUUAAUUGCAGGUUGUAUACCUUAAGGUUGAUGGUGCGGUGAUUUUGUAGUUUUCCUAAAGUUGAUGAUUGCGUAAUUUUGCCCUUUUGUCGGAGUUUGUUGUAGUAGAUGAUGUUGUGAUUUUGUAGUUUUGCACGAAUGAUCGACUACUUUUUUCCAUUAUCUUUAUGUGUUGUGACCAAAUUUUUAACAUGCUUGAUUUUCAGCAAGUGUUUGUGAAAAUAGCAAGAUUUUGGCCAUAGGCUGUUUCAGGGAAGGGGAUUGCAUUUUCAUUUUAGUUUUCAUUCUUUUGCUUUACUCCCUUUAGCAGGUGAAGUAGUGACCAUGCGUCCUUUUGUUUUCCAUAAUGAGAUUGACUUGUAUUGAGAUAUAGCUAUUGGAUAUAUAUUUUUCGGGCACUUAAUAAUAUUAUGUUCAAUCUAUUGAUGAAAUUUAGUAAUAUAUAUAUAUAUAUAUAUAUACAUAUAUAUCUCAUAUGGAAAAUUGACACGACAUUGUCUUGUCAACACUUAUUGAUGGAACUGUUUUUCACUAAAAAAUUCCCGAGGCUGUACUCAUUUUUCUGGAGCUGCAACCACUCUCCAACUAUCAAAUGCCUCUUUCAGCUUCGAUUUAGAACUUAACUUUCUAAUAAGAGAUUUUUGUUGCAUAGAAACUUAAGGAUGGAUUCCUUAUGUUGCAUGAGCAUUCAAGGCAGAUCUUCAAAUCAACUUGGCUAUCAUUUUUCAAUUAUUUUUUUUAUGCUUUAUUUUACUUUUUAAAGAAAUUAUAUUAAUUUCCUUGUCUUUAUGUGGUAUAAAUGACCAGGAUUAUAAAAGAUUGAUAUAUUUUUAGUAAUGAGGAGCCUACAUUAUAUAUUAACAUAGGCUUCGAAUUGAAUUAAAGGCCUUUCUAGAAUCAGGGGUAGGAUUAUGUAUGGGAUAGUGUUCUUUCUAGGAAGAUUACUGUUCUUUCUAUUUUAGUUUUUUUUUUCUUUGGGGGGUUGGUUUGGUCGAGUAUUCUUCUGGUUUUGUACUUGUUUUCCUUCUUUGCAUCACCUCUAGUAGUCUUGUAUCUUGCAAUAGCAUCCCAAAUUCACAAUUACAUGUUUGGUGAUUUUCAUGUGGCUUUGCAUGUGUGGUUCCUAGUAGGAACAUUAGAAGGAAAGUGGCCAAUCUUUUUGACAGACCUGGUAAUACUGUAAUGAAGAGAAACAAAUAGAAAGGAGUAAAAGGAAAUCAACAAACACCUUGGUGUCAAUGUAACAUAGUAACUUUCCAUGACCAUACAGUAAAUCCGGUAAUCUUUCGGGGGUUUUAGCAUGUCCAUGAACUGUCUUAAAAUUCUAGAGUGGGACUUCCAGUUCAAGAUAAUGGCAAAAGUAACAGAAUGAUGUUAAGUGAAGUACUAACUGACUUGGAACUUCAUUGUCGUGGCUCCCUAAUUAUUAGGGAGCAGGUCUUAUAGUUUUUACAGUGGAGGUUAUUAUGCUUGGGAAAGGUUUCUCUAUCAUCCAAUAGUCAAUAAGGCCUGUUUUCUUAAUAGUUAAAGUGAUGUUGAGGGAGUCCUAGAGGCAUUUGAGCUAAAGAUUGGAGAUCAUGAUCUGUUGUACAAGAUGUUUGGAAGAUGCUCAAAGAACUGAUUCAGAGAUCAGGAUAUUUCAGACCUGUCCAGAAGGCAAUAUGGUUGCAUAUUUGAAGCCAAAUUAGGCACAGCUAGCUUAGGAAUUUUAUUUGGGCUUGCGGCUUUCCAAGUGGGGUCAUUCUGCAUCUUGCCCAUGAUCUUUUAGGCUGGGCGUUUCCCCAUUCUUUUUCUGUUUGUGAUGGGAUCUGUGAAAUGGUAUUUUAUGAAAGAAGAAAAUGCGACAAGCACAUAAUGAAGCUUUGUCUUAAAAAUUCUUUGAAAUUUUUAAGGGAACCUUUGAGGCAUGGAAAUAAUUAGCUGCAGAAGGUUUCUAUGGGAUUUACAGUCACAGAAGAAUGCAUUGAAAGUAUGUUCCAUCACUCAAAUGUUUGUCAUGCUGCUUGUAAUUCUAUUUCAGCCAGGAUUCUAUUGACUAUGCAGUAAAUACAUCAUUAUGCUCCGGUUGUUGGUGCUAGAAUUCCUUAUGGGGUUUGUCCAUUCAAAUUAGAUGUUGAGAUUUUUCCUUAUAAGAGAUAUCACUGUUUUGGCACAUUCAUUAGUUUGAGGUGAUUUUGACCUUUUAAUUAAUUGUAUUUUGGGAGUGCUUCUGAUGUCAAUGCAAUUAGUGGUUUUUGAUUAUCCUGAACUUGAUAAGGAGUUGUUUACCUGUAAUUUUGCUCGAACUGUUGCUUACACCAGUUGUUCAGGGUUAAACCAGCUUUGUUUCAGUAUUUUGCUUCAUUUAGGGCCUAAAUGUAUGCCAUACCAUACAUGGGUACUUUUAGGGUAAUGCUGACAAGGAGUUAACUAAAGGCUUCACUAGUUAUUAGCCUAAUAGAAACCUUUUCCUGUGUUGCUGUUGUUUAUCUACUCUAUUAGAGAUUGGAAUCUUUACAAUCUGUCUGCUCUGUGCUAAGAAUAACUUUCUUAGAGCCAAAUGCAGAUAAAUUGAGUGGAGAGAUCUACACCUGCACUUUCUGUUUUGUUGACUGAUUCGGCCUUUCUAAAUUUCCUUCAUGGUUGAGGCAAUUUGCAAGAUAAUUUCUGAGGUGGUGGUGGGGGCCCCUUGUUCCACAAUUUCCAUGUUUGUUUCCCCCUGAUUCUAAGUUGAAGUUUAGAGUAACUGUGGUUGAGUGGGUUGUAUUUGUCUUGAAAUUCGCAAUCUGAGAUGUAAUCUGGCAAAAUAAAUACUAGAUUUAGGUAGGUGGUGAACUCAUAGCAGCUGCUAAUAAGGACUCUUGCGUUCUUUUCAGUCAACUUUUAUGUGAGGCAUUAUGGAAAACUGUCUUGAGUCUCACUGGACUUCAUUUCCUGUUUGACUAUAAACUAGACAAUUAAUUUUCCACUUGGUGAAUAGAAAAAUAUACAGGGGAAAAAUAAUUUGGAUCUAGUAUUUGCCUCAUUUCCACUGAGAAAGCACUCCUUUGGCUAGCUUUGGGGAUUUGAUGAAUGGACAAUCUAGAGAGUUGCUGUGUUCUUAAAACAUUGGAUUCAAUUUAGAAUGCUGAGAUUUGAGUGAUCUUAUGUGCUGUUGGUGGUGCUUAUGCCAAUGUAAGGGAAAUAUGAUGCAGUGUUAGGAAUAGAAUUGAGAUGUGAAUAUGCAAUAGGAUUAUAUUUUGGGAGUAUGUGUGUGGAGCAAUAUGGCUCUGAUUGUGCUGACUUCGAAUGUAGGAGGUUGUUCAAGGAAAACAGGUUUUUGUUAUGUGUUUGUCAGGGUGAAUUGAAGAGACACAAGACUCUGUUGUCAUUCUUUCCUGUAGGAUUCAGCUGCAUAACCCCUGAUCUUAGUACUAGUACUGUGCUUCUCAUUCUACUCCAGUACACAGAGUUCGAGAUUUAGAUCUGAAUCUGUUGAUGUAUGAUAUGUCAAAAUCUUGAAGCAAUUGUCUUGAAAAGGAUUAGUGAUUAUAUGCGUUGCAUGCUGAAACUUCAAUAAGUAAAUUUAUACUCUGAAGAUCAUAAAGCAAAUGAAGCAAAUAUAUAAAAUAUAGCAAUGAUUCAAUUGUUAUACAGUUUCAAAAGAUCCAUCUAAAUAAUUAAAUCUAUAGAAUAUAGCAAAGUAUCCAUCUUGAAACAGGAAAAAACACAACCCCUUGUGCAAUCAAACUGCACAAUAGUGUUUGAAUGGAAACUAACCAUUCUGAAGCUCAAAUUGAUUGUACUGCCAUGUUUAUAUUGAUUAUUGUGAGCUAUAAUUGAUUAUGUAAGGAUGUUGGUGGCUGAUAAAAAAUUGAAAUGAAGCCUUAGAGUUGAAGGAGAGUUUUGGAAACUUUUACAAAUCUGUUUUGAAUGGGAAAGAAUAUUAAUUUUGUUUUUCUUAUUAUUAGUGGGAAAUCUUUGUUGGAUUUUUUUUUUUUUCUUUUCCUGAAAUUUUCAAUGUCUUUGUAGGGUAACUUCAUCCGAAGAAUCUUUUAUUGCUAUUCUGGAUUUUAAUUGCAGUAUAGGUAGGAUGCCCAAACUCAGACCCAAGUCCCCACUUGUCAGCAUUGUGAUGGACUCCAGCACAAUUAGUAUAGCAGGGGAAGGACAAUGGGAGCCUCUUGGCACCUUGAAUUUGCAUUUGGUCAAGUUUCAGUCAACAAUUUUUGCAGGCUGAUAUUUGACCAUCUGAGCAUGCAUUUGGUUUGUAACACAAGAUAUUGUACUGUUGACCAGCUGAGUAGGUAAUUGGUAAAGAGCACAUCCCUGGUAAUCCCACUGUUUAUUCCUUAUUUUAUGCAAGGCAUUUUCUGUUAGUCCAGGGUCGAGGCUGCUUCUCAUUCCCCUGCUUUUGUUUCCUUGAAAAUGGCUUUGUUCCUAUGGACCAUUCUGCUUUCUUGUAUUAUCAAGUGCAAUCUGCAUUCUUGUAUUAGAAGAAUGAGGACAUUAAGGAACUGAAGCACCACAAUAAGAUGUCAUGUUCCCCUUUAGUUUCUAGAUGUGCCUCAGCUGUUAGUCUCUUUAUGCUAUGCAUAUUCAUAUUGUUCCCACCCUCUUUGGGCCUCUCACUCAGAAAUUUGCUCAUUAUCUGCCAAACUCCUCCAACCCCCAAGAUGAGAAUUUCAGUUUUCUACAUCCUGAAAUCAUAAGGCACUGAGUUAUGCAAACUAGGGGGAAGAGAGCUGUAUAUGGUUAAAUGCUGAAAAGCUGUGCUUGUUUUGGGUAGCAUAACUAGAACUAAAACAAAGCAAAUAGCAUCUUCUUUUCAAUAGCCCCCACUAGUCUUUUCAAGUGUUUACAUACCUACAUUUUGAUUUGCCUUGGCAUUUGAAUGGCAUAACAAAGCUGCUGAUGCUGCCCCUUCAUGACCAUUAACAUAAACCCUUGCGAGCUACACUUGCUAUUCUUUCUGCUAAUUUCUAGUUUCAAAUGCAACAAAAGGUCAAAAUAGGUCUGUAUGAUUUGCUGGAUAUUAGAGAAGCCAUGUAGUUGAUUUGCUCAAUUGUGUCUUUAUCCGUUGAAGAAAUACAGUUUCUAACAAGAUGAAUUAUAUCUUCACGAACUUACAACACUAGAUGAGCCUUAAGAUUUCGAGAACUCCUCUGUUAAGCACUGGAAAUACACUAAUUAAUUGUAUGAACGUAUUUUUUUUUAGAAAUUUGUUAGUUGGGGGGAUCGCAGAUCGAUUAGGAAAAGAUGUUUUCAGCAUUUCUACUGUGCUUUAUUUUUUAAGCUUAUAGAAGUAUUUUAAAGCUACUGGGAUUUUGAACAUAUGAGAGGAGUUUUAGAUUAAAAAUAAAUUAACUAUUUUAACUUAAUAUUUAAAAUUAUUUUUAUUUUAAAUUAUAAUAUUAAGUUUUUUUACCAAUCGCAGUUAAUAUAUUUAAUGACUUAAAUUAAGUCAUUAAACCAUUAAGUUGAUUUACCAAACAAUUCACUAAAUGUCACAAAACCAUACCAAAAACAAGCAUUCCACACUAUGUGUAAUGAGAAAGCAUAAAUUGCCUGAUCAUUAGCUUCCAUACACUCUCAUUGC